ensembl:lncRNA
AGUAUAAGAGGUCAACUUGCAAUACAUUGUGGUCUAAUUUCUAGAUAGUCCUGUGUAGAGCCAAGAGUUGGACUCAAUGAUCCCCAAUGAUCCAACUCGGACUAUUCUGUGAUUCUAUGAAAUUGUCUCAAGACCAAAGCAAGUAUGUUUUGUUUUUAUAGUGUCAUCCUCAUGAUGUAUUUUCUUACGGUUGUUGUCUGGUGUUCAGAAGAACAUGUGCCAUGUAGAAUUUGAGGGAGCUGUUGGGUACAGCAAGAUCAGAAUAAAAAAGCAGCUAUUCACAAAGCUCAGCAGAUUACCAUUAUUACAGGUAGCUUUCUUUUUUUUGAAAAGCACUUAAAAGGCCAGCUUUGUAAAAGCAAGGCAUGGUUAUUACUGUUUAUUCCUGCGUUAUUAUCUCUGUUCCACACCACUGAUUUUGUUUCAUUUAUCAGUCAAAUUUUACAUUAUUAAUGGAGAAUAAAAUUCAAGGCUUAAUUUCAGAAGAACAAAGCCUCUGCUCUUAGCACGACCAUUAGAUUAUCCCUCUAAUUGUCUCAUUCACCUUUCUCCUUUGCAUGGUACAUCAUCUCUUCUAGUGUGGUAAGGCAGAAAUUUUCCUCAUAAAUGUAUGUGUUUUUUGUUUUUGAAGGGACAAAAUGACCUCAGAAUGGACUUACUGCCAUCUUUCUAGCUCUGUGAGAGCAGUGAGAAUGGCCACCUCCUGGAGUCAGCACUAGAGAGGAUGGAGUCCCAUUGGUACAAGGCACAUAAAGAUCUUAGCUGCAAAUCCAAAAGGACCUGAGAGUGGAAAGUGGGACAGUCCAGUGCGUGCAAACCAGGAGCCCCAAGGAGAACCCUGACAUUGCUGCAGGACAUUGCUGCACCCUGCAUCAAUUACACAUGGAGGCAGGCCAAGAACUGAAGCAGACCACAGCCGCUCAACAGCAGCACUUGUCACAUCAGCCAAAGCAGCUGUCACAUCUGGGAUCUGCCCCACUCCUGGAGGUGUCCAAGGAAGAGAAAGAAAGAAAGAAAACUGUCCACCCUUUUCAGAAACCACUGAUUUUCCAUUGUAAAGAAAGAAUUGAAAAAACAAACAGAAGUUCCUUGCUUGCUGAUUGAUUUGGAAAGAAAAUCUGCCCUGAGCAUCCAUUGUUCCUUCGUGGGUGAUGAAGCAUUUGCUCUGGGAGCUUUGGUCACUCUGCCACUCACUUGCAAGGUGCUGGGAAGCUGCUCUGCAUUCAGCAAUGCUGUAGGUACUUGAAAUACCAAAAAAGUCAAGCAUGAGAUGUUUAUUAAUUGGGAAAUGCAUAUCUUGUAGGCUGAAAUGGAGUGCAGAGAGGAACUGAUUCAGGGUGCUGAAACACAAGCUGAAGCUUAUUCGCCUUUUAUGAAGGGAAAGGGUAGUCACUAACCAAAUUCCUCCCUGCAUUAACCAAACUGCCAAUUGCUGGGUACAGUUCUUGUUAAAUCAAAUCUUUCCUGCUCUAAACUGAAGCUGUCAGUUCUUUAACUGAAUAUAUUGACUAUGAAACCUAUCACCGGGGAAAUCACAUCCAUAUUCUAUUCCAAACAUACAGUGGUUGUUUACCAAUCUCUGAACUCAUAAAUAAGGUACAAAAGAAGAGUACAAUUUGGAAUUACAUAAAAUCUCCAAAAACUCCUCUAGUAAAUUGAGAUCUGCUUUCC